UCUGCAAACCUAAAUUUUCAUGGCUGUGG
rnacentral:piRNA from 2 species